GACGAACGCUGGCGGCGUGCUUAACACAUGCAAGUCGAACGAAGUGGCGAACGGGUGAGUAACGCGUAAUCAACCUGCCCUUCAGAGGGGGACAACAGUUGGAAACGACUGCUCAUACCGCAUACUGAAGGAGGGGAUUGCGUCUGAUUAGCUAGUUGGGGGGGUAACGGCCCACCAAGGCGAAGAUCAGUAGGCGGUUUGAGAGGAUGAACGGCCACAAUUGGACUGGGAACAGGCCCAAGAUCCUAAGGGAGGGAGCAGGGGGGAAUCUUCCGAAAUGGAGGAAAGUCUGACGGAGGAACGCCGCGGGAGUGAUGACGGCCUUCGGGUUGUAAAGCUAUGUUAAUCGGGACGCGGUACCGGAAGAGAAAGCCACGGCUAACUACGUGCCAGCAGCCGCGGUAAUAC
rnacentral:rRNA from 1 species